UGCGGGGUCGUCUAAUGGUAGGACUCGGCGCUCUGGACGCCGGUAUCGGGGUUCAAAUCCCUGCCCCGCAGCCA
rnacentral:tRNA from 1 species